ACACUAACCCCAAAGGGAGGAGGCGGGGCCCGCGCCCAGCAGCCCCUCCCCUUAUUUGCAUAACGUCAUCCUUCCGCCUCGCCGCGACCAAUCGCGGCUCGGGAGCGGGCCGGCUCGCCGAGCCAGGCCACGCUCCCUCAUUAACAUCCCUCCCCGGGUGGCGCGGGGGAGCCGGCUAAAGUUCCUCGCAAAGUGGCUAGCAAGGGAGCGCUGAACAUCGGGGUCUGCGGCUGGGAGGAGCGGGGCCGGAGCGGGGCCAGAGGGCAGGGGAGGGAUAUCCUUCCCAGGGAUUUGAGCUGGAAGAACGGGAGGGGGAGUCCGCAUCCUGGCGGUUGCCUUCCCCCUGCAUCCGCUCUGCGCCCUGAAAACGCUCGAGGCGCACACGGUGCGCCCUUCCAGGCCCAAGGCCGCGUCCUGAUCCGCAGUUCUGGGUCGUCGGGGGCAAAAGUGGAGGAGUCGGGACAGCCUGUGCAGAAAAGUCAGGACGCGCGUCCCAGCAGCCUGAGGAGAUUAAUGUGCCUGGAAGAUAAGAAUAAGCGGACAAGAUGAGUUUCAGGACAUCAUCCAGUCCCACCAGGCUAGAAUUCUGAAUCAGUGUUGGGUGACAGCAGGUUCAGAAAAAAUAGCACAGGUACUUUGAAGAUUAAAGCCUUCCUCCCACUAUUUUGAUGCUGGUGACCUUGAAGCAAGUUGCAUAACAUUUCUGAACCACAGGUGUCUCAUCUGCAUGGUAGUACACUCCUUAUCUUAAGAGGACAGAGAGGAGUCUGGCAUUGCCACUUCCAGAAAAGCAACAGAAGAUGGUCCAAGUGUCUGUGCCCCUGCAACCCACAUGGGAGACCCAGUUGGAGCUCCUGGAUCCUGGCUUUGGCUUGGGUUGGCCCUGGCUGUUGUGCCCAGUUUGGGGGUGAACCAGCAGGUAGAAGACCUCUCUCUCUUUCUCUCUCUCUCUCACUCCCUCCCCUGCCCCCCAUAACUCUAACUUUCAAAUAAAUAAAUAAUUUUUUUUUAAAAAAAAGAGAGGACAGAGUGAAUGGAAUUCUGUUGUGGCACCAGUUUGUGGAGAAGUGCUAAGUGUUGUUGUAAUGGACCAUAGCUCUACUGCAUUUCCCAGCUUCGUUUGAAGUUAGGUUGAGAUAGCAUUGGUGGAAGCCAUAUUAAGACAUGGUCCAGAAGCCCUCCCACAGAACUGCCACUCUUUCUCUUCCUUUCUAUGGGCUCAAUCAGAGGAUCUCAGCACUUGAAUUUGGGUCUUUGUAAUUCCCUCUGUAAAGGUCCAGAUAGCAUUAUGGGUUUCAUUAGCCAUAUAGUCUCACAAUUGUUUUACUCAACAAAGCAUGAUGAUAUGUCAACAAAUGGGUGUGGCUGUGUCCCAAUAAAAGUUUCUUUUCAAAAAGUU